rnacentral:lncRNA from 13 species
UGCUCAUCCAGCUAUGACUCCACUUCCUGUCCUCUGACCCAAUUCUCAUUUCCCCAUCAUGUCCUCAAGGGCACCACCAGGCUCCCACCGGGCUGGCUGCUGCUGCCACCACCAUCUGAUCUGGAUCCCCCCUUGCAGCUGUCAUCAAGGCCUCCACUGUGUGUCAAGAUGUGGAUGAAUGCCUUCACCCCCUUAGGUUAGUGGAGACACGCUGGAGCUUUUGUUGUUGUCGUUUACUUAAAAGGAACUCCACUAGUAAAUUACAAAAAC